rnacentral:rRNA from 1 species
CCCUAUGGGGUGCCUGGGGUGCGGUGUGUUCAUGGGAUUCCUUUCCGGGUGAAUGCUGGGCAAAUCUUGCACAGCCGCGCCCGGGAAAGAAAGCGCUGAUUGGCCUUUUACAAUAGUUUUACAAAGCCCUUUCCGCCGGGAAACGAUUUGCGCAUUGACACGCGGAGGCCCGCAUUAUACGGUUCGAGCCGGGGCCGCGCCCGGCCGCCCCGCAUGGAGAAUUCCCGUGAACCGGUUCAGGUGGUUUUAUCACCCCCUCUUCAUUUUCAUUUUCUCCCUCGUCGCCCUGGCGGCGUCGCUGACGCUCUACAUCUACUGGUACAUCGAGGUCAGCGCGGGGCUUGCCGCCGUCAUCCAGCGCUACCAGCUCGACCCCUCCCAGUUCCUCGAGGUCCAGACGUGGGUCGUGAUCCUGGUGCUCUGCAUCCUGAUGGCGAUCAUCCUGGCGGGAGGGC